GUGAAAUGAUGAUUCAGUUUAUCCAUUCGCUGAGUGCGCUGAACUGACCUCUUUCCAGGCCUGGGUUCCUGUUCUAGGAACUAAGGCUAUGUAGCUAUCAAAUGCCCUGCAGUCUUGCUGUGUUCUACAGUGGAUAGCUGUGCUUUGGUAGACUAUUGGUAAGAAUAGUUGGUGUCAGCAGAGAUGAGUUCCUGAGUCUCAUCUCACCAAGAUGAAUGGUGGAAAUCUGAUCAC